rnacentral:lncRNA from 1 species
GUAUAGUCCUUUCAUAAUGCCUUCAUGGUGGGGGACUUCUUUGGAAUAGAUCCACGAGCUGCAUCUCAUGUAAUUGGAUUGGAGGGGUUGAGAAUUGGUUCACAAGCCAACACUAGAAGCAAAAGUAGAAGCCUUCGCGUACCCAACACCAACGUACAAGACAGAUGCCGAGGCAAGAAGAAAAGCCCCUGGACCCAGUGCUAUCUAUGUUAGGGGAAGAGUUGAAGGAAAGGGGCAGCUAAUUGAAUUUAUUCUGUCUCCCCCCAUGUCUUAGACAAGGUAAACAUGAUCUGAAAAGUUUCACAAAAAUGAUGUUAGAAAGGUUAAAUUACAAAAACAUCCCUAAAGGGUAUUUUAGUGAUGUCACACAUUUAAAAGUACAAUCAAAGUUCUCAAUAUUUCAAAAUAUUAAAUAAUAUAAAAUCAUGAUAUGGAGCCUUUUGCGAAAUUUGGACAUUGGGAGGUCAAUUUACGAAAAUACCCAUAAAAGGUAUUUUGUAAUUUCACACCUCUCAAGGUGUGAUAUCGGUUUUUAAUGAAUAAAAAAAUCAUUAAAAAAUUUCAAUUAUAAUAUGAAAGUUUCAAGAAAAUUAGAUUUCAAAAAAGUCAAAUUAUGAAAAUACUUCUAAGGGUAUUUUGAUAAUUUUACAUUUUUUGAAGUGCGAAAAUUUUUUAAAACUUUAAAAAUCACAAAUUUUAAUUCCAAGUUGCAUUGAUCCUAAUUGGUUGUGAAUUUUGAAAGUUGAUAUGAUUUCCAUUCAUUUUGAGAUAUUUUGACUAAGUUUGAUUUUGUUUAUCCAAGUUUAAUCAAUUUUGACCACAUUUGACCUUAGGGCAUUUGGAUCAAACUGGUCUAAAUUUUAAUUUUAAAACUUAUCAAAAAUUGGAGAAGUGUUGGAUUUGAACUGGGUUAGAUUUGAAGGGCUUCACAAAUGGUCAAAAUUUGCUCAGAUAAAAUUAAGUGUUUAUAGCUAUCUUUUUUUACAUAUUUUUGAAAAUCAGAAAUAAUGCAAAAACCAAAGACACCGAUUUUGUCCAAGACCAAGGGCUAAAAGGGUUUUGUUGGUGUGUUGUUUGUUUGUUUUGUUUCCAUGUUGGAGGAGGUUUUUUCUAUAAAAAAAAAAAAAAGAUACUCAUAUAGUCUUAGGUAAGUGACUUUAAAAAUCAUUUUUUGAAAAGUGCUCUUAUAAACAUAGCAAGUGACUUUAAAAAUCUCCUUGAAAAGUGCUAUUAUAAAGAUAGGUAAUAAACUUUAAAAUUCUCAUUUUGGAAAGGGCUCAUAUGAAAAUGAGCAACAAACCUUAAAAAUCUCAUUUUGAAAGGGCUCUUAUGAAAAUAAACAGUAAACUUUUAAAAUCUCAUUUUGAAAAAGGCUCUUAUAAUGAUAAGCAACAAACUUUAAAAAUCUCAUUUUGAAAAAGGGCUCCUUUAAAAAUCUCAUUUUGAAAAGGGCUCCUAUAAAGAUAGGCAACAAAUUUUAAAAACCUUAUUUUGAAAAGGCUCUUAUAAAGAUAGGCAACAAACUUUAAAAACUUCAUUUUGAAAAUGGCUUCUAUAAAGAUAAAUUUCAAAAAAUUCCAUUUUGAAAAGGGUUCUUAUAAAGAUAGAUAACAAAUUUUAAAAAUCUUAUUUCGAAAAGGACUUUUAUAAAAGAUAAACAACAAACUUUAAAAUUUUCAUUUUGAAAAGUUUUGAAAGUUUUAUCUUUGAAAAGCUAGGUAGCAUAUGAGGCCUUGAAAAUGAUUUUUUUUUUUAAAGGACUUUUUUUUAGUUUUUUCUUUUGUUUUUUCUUGAGAAGUAUCUUUCUUCAAUUGUAUUUAUUUUCUUUCAAAAAUCAAGCUCAUUCUGCAUGUAAUGUAUGUGAUGAUUGCAAAAAACACAAUGCAUAGGAAAACGAUUUUGUUCACAUCAUGUGCUUGUACUUAUGACAACAAGGUUUUCAUGAUUGCAACUAUCUUCAAAUAAGGUUUUCAUGACUGUAACUAUUUUCAAAUUCUUGGUUCUAAACAAAUCAUCAGCAGUCAAAUCAUACUCAUCUGAUCAAAAUUUUUUUUCAAUUCAAGCCUUUUUUCUUCUUUCUUUUUUCUUUAUAAAUUUUUUUCACUUUGAUCUCUCCAGGAAUUGUUUUAAUGAUUUUGCUAAAAACACUUUCUUUCUUUUUCAUUCAUUAUUGUCAUUCCAUCAUUUGUCUCCAUUCAUUCUUCAUCACUUUUUCAUUUUCAAUUUUCUUCAUUUACUCAUUUACUCAUUCAUAUCCUUCAUUUCCCAUUUUCAUUCUCAUUUUCAUAUUCAUUCAUUCAUCAUUUUAUCAUCAUUUUUUUCAUUAGGCUUAAUGAUCUCAUUUUGGUGCCAGCUAAUCUAAGCUUAAAUAUCCUUAGUGCCAACUAAACUGAGCUUAAAUCUUUAUAGGUGUCAACUAGACUGGGUUUAAUUCCCCUUGCUGCUAGCUAGACUAGGCUUAAUUCUUUUUUGUACCAACUAAAUUAGGCUUAACUCAUUCAUGCCAGCUAAACUAGGCUUCAUUCUCUUUGGUGACAGUUAGUCUGGGUUUAAUUCUUCUCGAUGCCAACUAGUCUGGGCUUAAUUUUUCUCAAUGCUGACUAAACUGGGUUAAUUUCCCUUAAUACUAGUUAGAUUGGGCUUACUUCUCCAUAGAUGCCAGUUAAAUUGUGAUUAAUUUUCCUUGGUGUCAACUAAACUAGGCUUAAUUCUCCUUCAUUUCCAUUUUUAAUUUUAUUUUAAAAAUUUUUUUUGACAUUUACUUAACUUCUUAUCAUAUCUCUUAUUUUCAUUUAUUUUCUUAACAACCCUUUCUCUUUUGCAUAUUCUUUUUCAAUUCUUCAAACUUUUUUGUUAUUUUUGUCUCUAGGUAACCAUUUUUUCUUUUUUCUUAUUUUUCUCCCUUUUCCCAUGGCAUUGUCAUUUCUCUUUUUUUGCUUUCUUUUUUUCUUUUUGUCUCCUUUCCUUUUUCUUUUCAUUGUUUUCUUCUCUUUUUUUUUUCAUUUUUUUUCAAACUCUUUCCCUCCAUCUUUUUCUUGGUAAACUCUUUUUCUCUUGUUUCUUGAACUAGCAGAUUCUUUUCUUUUUACUAUUUUUUUUGUUUUUUUUCUUUAAAUGUUUUUAUUUUUUUUCUUUAAUAUUUACAAAGUUGACAAAUGCAAUUAUGACACAAAUGGUAAUUCACAAGAAAUUAUGUGAAUGCAAAUGUUUUUAUGUAAAUGCAAGAAUCUAUGCCAGAUUUUUUUCAUGAUGCAAACGUUCAAUGUAAAUGUAAGUGACUUUUUAUGAUAUAGAUACCAAUGUUCUUUCCAUGUGGAUGAACUUACAAUGAUUCAAAUAUGAAUUUCUUUUUAUGACAAAUGUAUCUAAAAAUAUGGAUGACAAAUUUUAUUACUAGCAAAUUUCUUU